GAUGAAGAACGUAGCGAAAUGCGAUAAGUAGUGUGAAUUGCAGAAUUCAGUGAAUCAUCGAAUCUUUGAACGCACAUUGCGCCCUUUGGUAUUCCAUAGGGCAUGCCUGUUCGAGCGUCAUUUGUACCCUCAAGCUUUGCUUGGUGUUGGGCGUCUUGUCUCUAGCUUUGCUGGAGACUCGCCUUAAAGUAAUUGGCAGCCGGCCUACUGGUUUCGGAGCGCAGCACAAGUCGCACUCUCUAUCAGCAAAGGUCUAGCAUCCAUUAAGCCUUUUUUUCAACUUUUGACCUCGGAUCAGGUAGGGAUACCCGCUGAACUUAAGCAUAUCAAUAAGCGGAGGA
rnacentral:misc_RNA from 1 species